rnacentral:lncRNA from 1 species
AUGAAUUGACAUUUCAAGUGCCAACACUAAACCAAUUUCAAGUCAUGAAUUCACAUUUUCAAGUGAUUACACUUAACUAAUUUCAAAACACAAGUUCACCUUUCAAGUAACUACACUAAACCAUUUUCAAGUCGCUAAUUUAUUUCUCAAGUAGGUAUUUAAUACUCAUCUUAUUCACAUAUCUCAAGUUGUUAAGACUAUUACCACAAUCACUUGAAAACAAUCAUAACAGUUUAAGCAAAAUAAUUUAAAGAAGACUAUUUAUCAAAAUUACACAAUAUUCUUGAACAACUAAAGAAUGUUAAGUUUAAAAGUUA